rnacentral:rRNA from 1 species
UGGUGAGACUGCCGGGGACAACUCGGAGAAGUGGGGAUGACGUCAAAUCAUCAUGCCCUUAUGUCUUGGGCUACACACGUGCUACAAUGGCUGAAACAAAGGGAUGCAACAACGUAAGUUGAAGCGGAUCUCACAAAAACAGUCCCAGUUCGGAUUGUGGGCUGCAACCCGCCCACAUGAAGUCGGAGUUGCUAGUAAUCGCGGAUCAGCAUGCCGCGGUGAAUACGUUCCCGGGCCUU